CUUCUACUUCCUCCGUCACAUAUUAAGUGACUUUCUAUUAUCGUAUCUAGACACUUUUUAGGCAUAGAUACAUCCAUAUUUGGGCCAAUUUGAGUCACUUAAUAUGGGACGGAGGGAGUAUCUG
rnacentral:pre_miRNA from 1 species